GAUUAUUGCCAAUGGCGCUUAUGACUUCACUAGAGCUGCUCUGAGGACUUCAUUUCUGGCUUCGUGUGUCUCUGCCUGCCAGAGCCGAACAAUGAGUCUUGCAGAUACCGUGACUGUGAUGGCUCAAAGGCUGCAUGAGCGUCUCCAGGAAUGCAAUGGGGAUGAGGUCUUGAAGGCAGAAGCUGGUGCCAAGGUUCAAAAGUUCACUGAAUGGGCUUUGAAAUGUAUCGGCUUCCAUUCUCGUUGUCAGGGGAAUAGGGAUAGAGUGAGUCAUAACUCAGCCAUUGAGAUUCAACUCCAAUUAUCUGCAUUCAAAACGUUUUUAGACCUUGCUGGCAAUCAACUCACAGGGAAGGAUUUCACAGAGGCCUUUGAUGCAGCUUGUUUUCCUCUUACUUUAUUCUCUAGUUCAUUUGAUCCUGGCUGGGCAUCUGGGAUAUCGGCUACUGCAAUCCAAGGAUUGUUGGGUAUGCUAGUUGAA
rnacentral:misc_RNA from 1 species